AACGAACGCUGGCGGCAGGCUUAACACAUGCAAGUCGAACGGUUGUAGCAAUACAGCAGUGGCAGACGGGUGAGUAACACGUGGGAACCUUCCUAGGGGUACGGAACAACUCAGGGAAACUUGAGCUAAUACCGUAUACGUCCGUGAGGAGAAAGAUUUAUCGCCCUUAGACGGGCCCGCGUCGGAUUAGCUAGUUGGUAGGGUAAAGGCCUACCAAGGCGACGAUCCGUAGCGGGUCUGAGAGGAUGAUCCGCCACACUGGGACUGAGACACGGCCCAGACUCCUACGGGAGGCAGCAGUGGGGAAUCUUAGACAAUGGGCGCAAGCCUGAUCUAGCCAUGCCGCGUGAGCGAUGAAGGCCUUAGGGUUGUAAAGCUCUUUCAGUGGGGAAGAUAAUGACUGUACCCACAGAAGAAGCCCCGGCUAACUCCGUG
rnacentral:rRNA from 1 species